CCACUUAUAAAUUGUCAGCCUUGCCUCGAGCACUGAGAAUUAAUGGACUACAUCCCUGCUAUGUAGGGAUGGUUUACAGUUGUAAAAUAUCUUCACCUUCAUUUUAGAUAUAUUUACCAAAAUGUUUUUCUUUAAGAUGUAAUCAGAAAACAUGCUAGAUGGAAAAAUUUCAUUUCUAUUUACUAUGUUAUAUUAUCAUUGUCUAGAUAAAUACAAUUCCCAGAGUCUCAGCACGGCACAUUCUUGUAACAGGAAUAACCAGUUUAUCACUGGCAGGGAACAAUAAAUUGCAGUGCGAAGAUGUAAUGGCUUUAAGCUUUAAACUUUAGGAUAACCUCUGUGCUUUUCUGGACAAAGACUGAAAAUAUCCUAAGUUUCUUAAUCUGUAUCUAUAUACAGGUUCUGCUAUUCAUAUUGGAAUGAAAAGAUUAUUCAAAGAAUCCCACAUAUAUUCAUUUUGUCACUAUGAUUAUCAGGUCUCUGGCCUUAUUGUGAAGAGCCACACACCAGUUUCUUCACUUUGAGAUCAUCAGAGGGUUUGCAGAUUAGAAAACCAAGGUCCAAAGAGAUCACACAGACCAACAAGAAUGAUAAGCCAUCAACCAAGCAUGGUAGCUCAUAUCUAUAAUCCUAGCACUUGGAGGCCAAGGUGGGAGGAUUGCUUGACUCCAGG